GGAAGGUUGGCAGAGUGGUCGAAUGCGCCGCACUUGAAAUGCGGUAUCCCGGAAACGGGAUCGGAGGUUCGAAUCCUCCACCUUCCGCAA
rnacentral:tRNA from 1 species